UUGGUCAAUGGUCGAGAGACUGAACCAGCCAAGUCGCGUGAAGGAUGACGGUUCUAUGAAUUGUAAACUUCUUUUAUCAGGGAAUAAAGUGAGGUACGUGUACCUUUUUGUAUGUACCUGAUGAAUAAGCAUCGGCUAACUCCGUG
rnacentral:rRNA from 1 species